GUGCCAGCCGCCGCGGUAAUACAUAGGGGUCAAGCGUUGUCCGGAUUUAUUGGGCGUAAAGAGCUCGUAGGCGGUUCAACAAGUCGGUCGUAAAAGUUUAGGGCUCAACCCUAAAAUGUCGAUCGAUACUGUUGUGUCUAGAGUUCGAGAGAGGUGAGUGGAAUUCCGAGUGUAGAGGUGAAAUGCGUAGAUAUUCGGAGGAACACCAAUUGCGAAGGCAGUUCACUGGACCGUGAUCGACGCUGAGGAGCGAAAGCUAGGGGAGCAAACAGGAUUAGAUA
rnacentral:rRNA from 1 species